UCCGGUGGUUCUGAAUGGAAGGGCCAUCGCUCAACGGAUAAAAGGUACUCCGGGGAUAACAGGCUGAUACCGCCCAAGAGUUCAUAUCGACGGCGGUGUUUGGCACCUCGAUGUCGGCUCAUCACAUCCUGGGGCUGAAGUAGGUCCCAAGGGUAUGGCUGUUCGCCAUUUAAAGUGGUACGCGAGCUGGGUUUAGAACGUCGUGAGACAGUUCGGUCCCUAUCUGCCGUGGGCGCUGGAGAACUGAGGGGGGCUGCUCCUAGUACGAGAGGACCGGAGUGGACGCAUCACUGGUGUUCGGGUUGUCAUGCCAAUGGCACUGCCCGGUAGCUAAAUGCGGAAGAGAUAAGUGCUGAAAGCAUCUAAGCACGAAACUUGCCCCGAGAUGAGUUCUCCCUGACUCCUUGAGAGUCCUGAAGGAACGUUGAAGACGACGACGUUGAUAGGCCGGGUGUGUAAGCGCAGCGAUGCGUUGAGCUAACCGGUACUAAUGAACCGUGAGGCUUAACCUU
rnacentral:rRNA from 1 species